CCUACGGGGGGCAGCAGUGAGGAAUAUUGGUCAAUGGACGAGAGUCUGAACCAGCCAAGUAGCGUGAAGGAUGACUGCCCUAUGGGUUGUAAACUUCUUUUAUAUGGGAAUAAAAUGUUCCACGUGUGGGAUUUUGUAUGUACCAUAUGAAUAAGGAUCGGCUAACUCCGUGCCAGCAGCCGCGGUAAUACGGAGGAUCCGAUCGUUAUCCGGAUUUAUUGGGUUUAAAGGGAGCGUAGGUGGAUUGUUAAGUAAGUUGUGAAAGUUUGCGGCUCAACCGUAAAAUUGCAGUUGAAACUGGCAGUCUUGAGUACAGUAGAGGGGGGCGGAAUGCGUGGUGUAGCGGUGAAAUGCUUAGAUAUCACGAAGAACUCCGAUUGCGAAGGCAGUUCACUGGACUGCAACUGACACUGAGGCUCGAAAGUGUGGGUAUCAAACAGGAUUAGAUACCCGUGUAGUC
rnacentral:rRNA from 1 species